rnacentral:rRNA from 1 species
CGCAAGCCUGACGGAGCAAGACCGCGUGGGGGAGGAAGGCUCUUGGGUUGUAAACCCCUUUUAUCAGGGAAGAAUCAAUGACGGUACCUGAUGAAUCAGCCUCGGCUAACUCCGUGCCAGCAGCCGCGGUAAUACGGAGGAGGCAAGCGUUAUCCGGAAUUAUUGGGCGUAAAGAGUCCGUAGGUGGUGGGGCAAGUCGGCGGUUAAAGACUGGGGCUUAACUCCAGAAAAGCCGUGGAAACUGCACCACUAGAGGGCAGUAGGGGUAGAGGGAAUUCCCGGUGUAGCGGUGAAAUGCGUAGAUAUCGGGAAGAACACCGGUGGCGAAAGCGCUCUACUGGACUGCAACUGACACUGAGGGACGAAAGCUAGGGGAGCG